rnacentral:rRNA from 1 species
CCUACGGGAGGCAGCAGUGGGGAAUAUUGGACAAUGGGCGAAAGCCUGAUCCAGCAAUGCCGCGUGAGUGAAGAAGGCCCUCGGGUUGUAAAGCUCUUUUACCCGGGAAGAUAAUGACUGUACCGGGAGAAUAAGCCCCGGCUAACUCCGUGCCAGCAGCCGCGGUAAUACGGAGGGGGCUAGCGUUGUUCGGAAUUACUGGGCGUAAAGCGUACGUAGGCGGCUUUGUAAGUCAGAGGUGAAAGCCCACGACUCAAUCGUGGAACUGCCUUUGAGACUGCUUCGCUUGAAGAUGGGAGAGGUUAGUGGAAUUCCGAGUGUAGAGGUGAAAUUCGUAGAUAUUCGGAAGAACACCAGUGGCGAAGGCGGCUAACUGGACCAUUCUUGACGCUGAGGUACGAAAGCGUGGGGAGCAAACAGGAUUAGAUACCCUGGUAGUCCACGCCGUAAACGAUGAUAACUAGCUGUUGGGGCUCUUGGAGCUUCGGUGGCGCAGCUACGCAUUAAGUUAUCCGUCCGUGGGUAGGUACGGCCGGCGAAGGUUAAAACGUUAAAAGGUAAAGUUAGACGGCGUGAGACGNGCCGACGGACGACGACGAGGGGAGGUUAGG